ACGGCUCAGUAACACGUGGCUAACCUGCCCUUGGGACAAGGACAACUCCGGGAAACUGGGGCUAAUCCCUGAUAAGUGAGAACUCCUGGAAUGGAUUCUCGCUCAAAGGACGUUUAGACCAUGCUUCUAGGCGUCGCCCAAGGAGGGGGCCGCGACCGAUCAGGUUGUUGGUGAGGUAACGGCUCACCAAGCCUUUAACCGGUACGGGCCGUGAGAGCGGAAGCCCGGAGAUGGGCACUGAGACAAGGGCCCAGGCCCUACGGGGCGCAGCAGUCGCGAAAACUCCGCAAUACACGAAAGUGUGACGGGGCUAUCCCGAGUGCCAUCCGCUGAGGAUGGCUUUUCCCCAGUGUAUAAAGCUGGGGGAAUAAGGAGAGGGCAAGCCUGGUGUCAGCCGCCGCGGUAAUACCAGCUCUCCGAGUGGUGGGGAUGUUUAUUGGGCCUAAAGCAUUCGUAGCCUGCUUGGCAAGUCCUCCGUUAAAUCCAACGAUUCAAUCGUUGGGCUGCGGGGGAUACUGUCCAGCUAGGGGGCGGGAGAGGCCGACGGUAUCCCCGGGGUAGGGGUGAAAUCCUAUAAUCCCGGGAGGACCACCAGUGGCGAAGGCUGUCGGCUAGAACGCGCUCGACGGUGAGGGAUGAAAGCUGGGGGAGCGAACCGGAUUAGAUACCCGGGUAGUCCCAGCUGUAAACGAUGCAGGCUAGGUGUUGGCGCGGCUACGUGCCGCUCCAGUGCCGCAGGGAAGCCGUUAAGCCUGCCGCCUGGGAAGUACGGCCGCAAGGCUGAAACUUAAAGGAAUUGGCGGGGGAGCACCACAAGGUGUGAAGCUUGCGGUUUAAUUGGAGUCAACGCCGGG
rnacentral:rRNA from 1 species